CCCCUUGCAGACCCGUGCUCACCAGGUUCCCUCACAGGUAGCUAGGCAACCAAAGGCAACAUACACAAAGAGCACAGAGCUGCCAAGUGCUACCCGGCAGGGUCUUCAGACGAAAGCAGAACCGGGGGCCUAUAAAUAUCCGCAAGGUGACAGAACACACAAACAGAUAAGGGACAAAUACUACAGAUGUUUUAGAGUCUGGAUCUCCAGCCACAGUAAGAAUAAAGACAGGCCUGGUAAGGCACUGGUGGACAAAUAACUGGAUGGCUGGGAAACCAGAUAGCAAAGCCCAGGGCGACUCAGUACUGGGGAUAGAGAGACCACAAGUGAGGCUGAACAACUCUUUAUUACCACCACACGAGGGUCUAAGGCAUGCACUUUGUAACAUGCAUUGCAACUGAUCACAGGCCUUUGAGGCAGGUCCUGGUUCUCAAGGCCACUUUGGAUACAUGAAAUGAACAGAUAAAUUAUCUCUACAAAAUGAACUGUGAAUUCCACAGGGGCUCACGGCAAUAAAUAGGAGUCCCUGCUGUAAAGAGUUUCCUCUGGCACAAACAAUAGACAUAAACAAAUAUUCAUUGAAGAUGCAACUUUGUUUCAGCCAAACACAUCUAUUCAAUACCAUGUCGAACUUGUGAUCUUUCCAUUUCUUUUUAAAGAAGGAGCUGUUUUCAUUUUUCCUAUGGCUGCUUGGGUGUGAGUUUAGUUUACAACUGAGAAGUGAAGACAAUGAGCCCAAGUGGAAGGAUUUCCAAAAUCUACUCUCGGAUAGGUCUAAAUGUUCAGAAACCUACACUGGUGUUUCUCUUGCACGGCAAGUUCCCCCCAGAAGGAGGUGCCAUGGGGUCCCAUGCUUCAACAAAGCCUAGAUUUGUGUGUAAAACAACAGAUUAAAUCCUACACAACGCAGCCCAAACACUACUGCUUCUAAGAAUUUUCCUUCAAUUUCCAACCCAGGGAUAACUUGUAUUUUUAUCUGGUAUAGCAACUAGCCUUUUCUAACUCCAUGUUUAUUAAUACCUUCCACUUCGCCCAUGCGCUGUUUAGAGGGUACUGCACGUAGUAGGUACCCAGAAAACUUCUCAGAAGUCAUCUAUGUGAUGUGCUUUCACAUUUAAGAAUACUAAAUACUGUAUUUGGAUAGGACAUCCGUACUUCAAGGAAUCUUUAAUGGUUAACACAUAUGCACACACAAAAACACUUUGGAGGAUUCAUGAAAACGUCACUUGGAAGAGAAAGCCAAAUAAUGCCUCCAUUUUCUUUAAGAAACUUACUUUAAAAAUGAUUGCUGCAGAGGGGCCUGUCCAGAACUAAAGUUAAAUUAGCCUGGUAGCUGCUGUCUGGUGAUAACUUUCUUCAUGCCAGGAAGUUGCCAAUGAUUGAAAAAAAAGAUAACAUCUAUGCUGGAAAGCAUAUGGAAAAAUGAAUGCGCCACAUUAUAAAUUGAAAAAUGAGGAGCCAUGGUAUUUAUGGUUCUCUGCAACUUUCUAAGUUUAUGAGAAACAGGUGUUCUGAGGAGUCUCCAUGUUGAUUUCAGCUACUGAUAAUCAGUUAUCUGGUACUGAGUAGUGAAGAUUCUCACGGACAGUGAGAAAAAGAACAGAGAUGGCAUCCAACAAUUCCAAACAUUCUGGUAAAAGCUUAAAUACCCAGUCAACGUGAUCAUUUUCGUUCUGUGUCUCUAUGAAAGUAAAAUAUCUCAACAUUUUAACAGACUUUUCAGUGAUCACGAACGCAAGAUUUUAUUGUAUUCUUAGAUAAGGUCAAAAGAUCUAUGUGUUCCUAUGAAGCACAAGCUUCCCCCACCAAAAGAAAAACAAUAAAUGGAAAACAUCAAGAGGGCAGAAGGAGAGUAAAAGAGUGGAUCUCUAAGACUGGAGAGCAAAGAAUGUUCUAUUUCCUAGGGAUUAACAUUUACACAAACACUGACUACACUAAUGGAGGGCUUUAUCCACACUUUAUCAUUUUGUUUAGUUUAUCUGGAUGAUGAUGCGAAACAAACCCAAAAUGAAGGAGGGACAUGGCUACUAUCUACGCAACUCUUCCAACUCAUAAGUCACCGGUAUAUCCAGACACCAGACUAAGUUCUGGUUCACAGGGAUUUCCCAACUCUGAAAAUCCCACGUUGCAAUAGAACAGGCCUUGAAAUCUUACAAAAGGGGUUCAUUGUGUUGAAUUAAAACGUACCCCUACACACACAGUAAUUUUAAGCAGAAAACGAACACAAAACCAAACUGACAAACCCCAGAAGCACUUAUUUUAGAUGAAGAAAUCAGAUGUUCUCCCCUCUGUACAAUGUGCUUCACGCACAGUUCCAGCAAGGAGCCAUCCCUCAAAUUCUGGCGGAAAAGCAACCUGAAACACGAAAUACCGCAGGCCGUCCACGUGCCGAACACCCAGCAAGGCACAGUGUGUACGCGCACUGCUAUCUAACACAUCAAGCAGUUGACCUCAUGGUCCUAGCCCGGGUUUUCUCAAAGACAAAGUCAUCGCAGCCUCCCAACCAAGCCCACUCCGAGACUUGUCUUGAUCCCUCUCCAUCCCCCUGAAGCCUGUUCCCAGAACCUAGUGUCU